rnacentral:rRNA from 1 species
UACGAAGGGGGCUAGCGUUGCUCGGAAUGACUGGGCGUAAAGGGCGCGUAGGCGGAUUGCCCAGUCAGAUGUGAAAUUCCUGGGCUUAACCUGGGGGCUGCAUUUGAUACGUGUGAUCUAGAGUGAGGAAGAGGGUCGUGGAAUUCCCAGUGUAGAGGUGAAAUUCGUAGAUAUUGGGAAGAACACCGGUGGCGAAGGCGGCGACCUGGUCCUUGACUGACGCUGAGGCGCGAAAGCGUGGGGAGCAAACAGG